CUACGGGAGGCUGCAGUGUGGGAUAUUGCGCAAUGGGGGAAACCCUGACGCAGCGACGCCGCGUGGGCGAUGAAGGCUUUCGUAGUUGUAAAGCCCUUUUAGGAGAGACGAAUCGGUUCAGGCCCAAUAAGCCUGUUCCUAGACGGUACCUCCUGAAUAAGCAACGGCUAACUCCGUGCCAGCAGCCGCGGUAAUACGGAGGUUGCAGUGUUGUUCGGAUUCACUGGGCGUAAAGCGCGCGUAGGCGGCCUUCCAAGUCAGGCGUGAAAGCCCUUGGCUCAACUGAGGAACUGCGCUUGAUACUGUUGGGCUUGAGUUCGGUAGAGGGGAGUGGAAUUCCCGGUGUAGCGGUGAAAUGCGUAGAUAUCGGGAAGAACACCGGUGGCGAAGGCGUCUCCCUGGACCGAUACUGACGCUCAGGCGCGAAAGCCAGGGGAGCGAAGGGGAUUAGAUACCCUGGUAGUC
rnacentral:rRNA from 1 species